UGGUUGCUGACCAAACCAUCGGCCUCAGGCCAUGGAGAUCCGGUCGCCUCGUUGGCCGAUAGAACCCGUCCACU
rnacentral:tRNA from 1 species